CUGCUCGAAAUGCUUGAGCACUGGCUAGUUGGGAUGUGGCUUUUUGGCCUUCGUGCCAUGUCACGGUGCCCCUUGCAGGCGGGCGCGUUCAUGGGCGUUGCACAUGUGUGUGUUGUGUGGCGCUCCUCUGACGUGUCCGUGCUGGGUGAUCCUAUCGAAGCAUCACACGGUAAUUGCCCACCACAGCUCGUUGCUUGGUCACCCGCUGUGUCUAAACGUGCAGGAUGCUCAUCCAGUUUCCGGACUGUCAAUGUUGACGCGUGUAUGGGCGAUGAUGUGCCGUACGGAGGGCUUUUCCGUACGCGCACGCGCCCGCGUCACGUCCGUGAUCCUGGCUCUGACUGCCGACUUGUAGACGUGGUGUGAUCCAUUCGGCGACGAAGCUGGAAUUGGCCAGACGCAUACAACCCCAGCACUG
rnacentral:rRNA from 1 species